rnacentral:rRNA from 1 species
UAAUCUACCCUUGGGUGGGGGAAUAACCAGUCGAAAGAUUGGCUAAUACCGCAUAAUGCAGCGGCUCGACAUCGAGACAGUUGUUAAAGCAGCAAUGCGCCUAAGGAGGAGCCUGCGGCAGAUUAGCUAGUUGGUAAGGUAAUGGCUUACCAAGGCUACGAUCUGUAACCGGCCUGAGAGGGCGGUCGGUCACACUGACACUGACAUACGGGUCAG